rnacentral:rRNA from 1 species
AUGCCGGGCACCUCAGAAUUAGUUGACCAUCACCUUGAGUGCAUCGGGAAGCUUCUUCACAUGAGAUACCUCUCUCUAAGAGGAUGUGAUGGCAUUUAUCACCUGCCUGAUUCGUUGGGUAACCUGAGGCAACUCGAAACUAUAGACAUCUCGAGUACACGCAUAAUAAGGCUGCCAUGGACCAUCGUCAAGCUUAGUAAGCUACGGAACAUUUGUGCUGGGGCCAUAGAAGAUAACGAUGAUGACAGACUUGAAAUCAAGACAUGUCAAGAAGAUCUACCCGAGGUAAUGAUAAACAGGCUGUGUAACAUUACUUGCUCUUCAAUUUCAUUUUGUGUGGCAUGCUGUGCACCUCAGCUUCUGGAGAAGAAGAUGGGUAUGGAUGUCGACGUGAACAGGCGUGACGUAUGCACCAUGUGCUGCUGCAACAUAUUACCUCUAUUGGCCACGCGGCAAAGUACACGUGGUGUUGCAGUGCCAAGAAGAAUUCGCAGACUGAAAGCCCUGAAAACAUUGGGUAUUGUCAACAUCACACGGGCAAAAGCCGUUCUGCAAGACAUAGAAGAGCUUACCCGGCUGCGCAAGCUAGGAGUGAUUGGCGUCAACAAGAGAAGCAGUCAAGAUUUGCUUUCGGCAAUUGCAGGUCUCAGCUGCUUGGAAUCGUUGUUAGUGCAGUCACUGGGAUAUCCUGGUUUAUCUAGCUGCUUAGAUGGCAUAUCCUCACCUCCAGCAAAUCUUCAGAGCCUCAAGCUGUUAGUACAGUCACUGGGAAUCCUGGUUUAUCUAGCUGCUUAG